UACGGAGGGAGCUAGCGUUGUUCGGAAUUACUGGGCGUAAAGCGCGCGUAGGCGGCUUUGUAAGUUAGAGGUGAAAGCCCGGGGCUCAACCCCGGAAUUGCCUUUAAGACUGCAUCGCUUGAAUCCGGGAGAGGUGAGUGGAAUUCCGAGUGUAGAGGUGAAAUUCGUAGAUAUUCGGAAGAACACCAGUGGAGAAGGCGGCUCACUGGACCGGCAUUGACGCUGAGGUGCGAAAGCGUGGGGAGCAAACAGG
rnacentral:rRNA from 1 species